UACGUAGGUGACAAGCGUUGUCCGGAUUUACUGGGCGUAAAGAGCGCGCAGGCGGUCGAUCAAGUCGAGUGUGAAAGCCCCCGGCUCAACUGGGGAGGGUCAUUCGAUACUGAUCGACUCGAAGGCAGGAGAGGGUAGUGGAAUUCCCGGUGUAGUGGUGAAAUGCGUAGAGAUCAGGAAGAACACCAGUGGCGAAGGCGCUCUGCUAGGCCGUAACUGACACUGAGGGACGAAAGCUAGGGGAGCGAAUGGG
rnacentral:rRNA from 1 species